rnacentral:rRNA from 1 species
UACGUAGGGUGCGAGCGUUGUCCGGAAUUAUUGGGCGUAAAGAGCUUGUAGGCGGUCUGUCGCGUCUGCUGUGAAAAUCCGGGGCUCAACCCCGGACUUGCAGUGGGUACGGGCAGACUAGAGUGUGGUAGGGGAGACUGGAAUUCCUGGUGUAGCGGUGAAAUGCGCAGAUAUCAGGAGGAACACCGAUUGCGAAGGCAGCUCGCUGGAACGUUACUGACGCUGAGACGCGAAAGCGUGGGGAGCAAACAGG